AACAAUGGUUGCCCACGUUGGAGAUUUCGGAUUAGCAAAAAAUAUUUCUGUAGCCUCAACAGAUGUAACACAACAUCAAAGCAAUUCAAGUGCAAUAAGGGGAACAAUAGGCUACAUCGCUCCAGAGUAUGGCGUGGGUGACACGGCUUCCACCAUUGGGGAUGUAUAUAGCUUUGGCAUUCUUCUAUUGGAGAUGUUUAAUGGCAAAAGACCAACUGAUAGUUUGUUUCAAGAUCAUCUAAAUCUUCAUAACUUCGUUAAGAAUGCUUUGCCAGAACGAGUGAUGGAUAUCGUCGAUCCCUCCAUCCAACUGGAGCACAACAAUGGAAGAUGGAUCAACGAUUGUAUGGUUUCUAUUCUGACAAUUGGAGUUGCAUGUUCAUUGGAAUUGCCAAGAGAUCGCAUGGAGAUGGGAACCGUUGUGAGCAAACUGUGGAAGAUAAAAAAAACUUUGGUUGAACGGAGGGUAGAAACAUAAGGAAGUUUAAAAAGAUUUUGCAACAUGGAAGCCAAAGUUCCCAUCCGUUCAUGUAGCAAAUAUGAGUUUGAGCAAGUGAACAAAAGCACUUACACCUUGGCGUCCACUGUCUAGGAUUACCGAUGCCCUCUAAUGAUGUUAACCUCCACAAUAUGCUGUUCCAAUAGCCUGUUGCGAACCCGCUUUCUGUGAGGGGUGGAUGGUGAUUCCCCCUAUCUUUCGUAUUCACUAUGUAUAAUAGUUGUUCUGCAGUCCAUGUGGGAAGUUUCCAACUGCGAUUGAAGGCUUAGGAUUAAGGUUUAUGCCUUGUAGAACAACAGCUUUCUCUUUUUGUUUUCUCUUUCUUGAACUUGUAUAUCAGCAUAG